UACAGAGGGUGCGAGCGUUAAUCGGAAUUACUGGGCGUAAAGCGCGCGUAGGCGGCUUUGCAAGUCGGGUGUGAAAUCCCCCGGCUUAACCUGGGAACUGCGUCUGAUACUGGAAGGCUCGAGUUUGGGAGAGGGAUGCAGAAUUCCAGGUGUAGCGGUGAAAUGCGUAGAUAUCUGGAGGAAUACCGGUGGCGAAGGCGGCAUCCUGGACCAACACUGACGCUGAGGCGCGAAAGCUAGGGGAGCAAACGGGG
rnacentral:rRNA from 1 species